rnacentral:misc_RNA from 2 species
AAGUCGUAACAAGGUCUCCGUUGGUGAACCAGCGGAGGGAUCAUUAUAGAGUUUUCUAAACUCCCAACCCAUGUGAACUUACCAUUGUUGCCUCGGCAGAAGCUGCUCGGUGCACCUUACCUUGGAACGGCCUACCCUGUAGCGCCUUACCCUGGAACGGCUUACCCUGUAGCGGCUGCCGGUGGACUACCAAACUCUUGUUAUUUUAUUGUAAUCUGAGCGUCUUAUUUUAAUAAGUCAAAACUUUCAACAACGGAUCUCUUGGUUCUG